rnacentral:lncRNA from 1 species
CUCUGGAGUCUAUAGACUCUGGAGGAGAACCUAAUAUUGCCACGUUCUUAAAUUAAUGUUUUCUACUUGUAUUUUAAUAUCAAUUUUAUACCCAUCUAUAAGUGUAUCUCUCAUCCAUCAUCAAAGAAGUUUCUUUUUUGCAACAGAUGGAGACCAUUGCGGGUUUCUACAGUAGUCAAGUAUACACAAUGACUAAUAGUCCGUUGCUAUCCCUUGCUUGAUGGAUCAACAAUACAGCUCGCAACAAUACCAGCUUAAGAAAUGCAUUUGUGAGGUGGGCACUCCUGAGGCUGCAGAGCGGAAGAGACCAACAACACUGCUCACCCCUGCCCACAUCCCUGGCCCAAGAGGAAACUGUAUAAGGCCUCUGGGCUCCCGUGGGGGAGGG